rnacentral:rRNA from 1 species
GUCGAACGGUAAGGCCCUUCGGGGUACACGAGUGGCGAACGGGUGAGUAACACGUGGGUGAUCUGCCCUGCACUUCGGGAUAAGCCUGGGAAACUGGGUCUAAUACCGGAUAUGACCUCUGCCUGCAUGGGUGGGGGUGGAAAGCUUUUGCGGUGUGGGAUGGGCCCGCGGCCUAUCAGCUUGUUGGUGGGGUUAAGGCCUACCAAGGCGACGACGGGUAGCCGGCCUGAGAGGGUGUCCGGCCACACUGGGACUGAGAUACGGCCCAGACUCCUACGGGAGGCAGCAGUGGGGAAUAUUGCACAAUGGGCGCAAGCCUGAUGCAGCGACGCCGCGUGGGGGAUGACGGCCUUCGGGUUGUAAACCUCUUUCACCAGGGACGAAGCGCAAGUGACGGUACCUGGAGAAGAAGCACCGGCCAACUACGUGCCAGCAGCCGCGGUAAUACGUAGGGUGCGAGCGUUGUCCGGAAUUACUGGGCGUAAAGAGCUCGUAGGUGGUUUGUCGCGUUGUUCGUGAAAUCUCACAGCUCAACUGUGGGCGUGCGGGCGAUACGGGCAGACUGGAGUACUGCAGGGGAGACUGGAAUUCCUGGUGUAGCGGUGGAAUGCGCAGAUAUCAGGAGGAACACCGGUGGCGAAGGCGGGUCUCUGGGCAGUAACUGGCGCUGAGGAGCGAAAGCGUGGGGAGCGAACAGGAUUAGAUACCCUGGUAGUCCACG